rnacentral:pre_miRNA from 12 species
UAAAAAGUCUUUCUCGCCUUCUCUUCCCGAUUCUUCCUGGAAUCAGGAAGAGCUGUGUUGAGGAAGGGAAAAUAAAAAGUAUC